AAUCAACGCUGGCGGCGUGCCUCAGACAUGCAAGUCGAACGAUUAAGACUUCCUUCGGGAAGUGUAUAAAGUGGCGCACGGGUGAGUAACACGUAGGUAAUGUGCCUUUGGGUGGGGAAUAACUUAGGGAAACUUAAGCUAAUACCGCAUAAUGCAGCGGCUCGACAUCGAGACAGUUGUUAAAGGAGUAAUCCGCCUAAAGAGCAGCCUGCGGCAGAUUAGCUAGUUGGUAAGGUAAUGGCUUACCAAGGCUACGAUCUGUAACCGACCUGAGAGGGUGGUCGGUCACACUGACACUGAAUAACGGGUCGGACUCCUACGGGAGGCAGCAGUCGGGAAUUUUGGGCAAUGGGCGAAAGCCUGACCCAGCAACGCCGCGUGAAGGAUGAAGUAUUUCGGUAUGUAAACUUCGUAAGAAUAGGAAGAAUAAAUGACGGUACUAUUUGUAAGGUCCGGCUAACUACGUGCCAGCCGCCGCGUAAUAC
rnacentral:rRNA from 1 species